rnacentral:snRNA from 1 species
GGAUGUGAGGGUAAUCUGGCUAUGACACCUGUCACCCCAUUGAUUGCCAGGGUUGCUGUCAGCUACCUGGCUGGCUGGGUGGGUAUCUCCUUCUUCCCUCAACAGCUCCAUGUGCAUUCCUCCUGAAGCUGUGUGCUGGGUUGAAGAGGACGACCUUCCCCCCUGGAGAAGGGCCAUCUUCGGUCAAGGGUUUAUGAGUUAGCUGCACUCCCCUGCUAGGACCUCCAAACAAGCUCUCAAACAUGGUCAUUUAAAAUAUAAAUUAAUUCAAAAUAUUCUGAAACUACUAGUACUGUAAUUAAUAGCU